rnacentral:rRNA from 1 species
CGCACGCUGGCGGCGUGCUUCACACAUGCACGUCGCACGGAAAGGCCCUGCUUUUGUGGGGUGCUCGAGUGGCGAACGGGUGAGUAACACGUGAGUAACCUGCCCUUGACUUUGGGAUAACUUCAGGAAACUGGGGCUAAUACCGGAUAGGAGCUCCUGCUGCAUGGUGGGGGUUGGAAAGUUUCGGCGGUUGGGGAUGGACUCGCGGCUUAUCAGCUUGUUGGUGGGGUAGUGGCUUACCAAGGCUUUGACGGGUAGCCGGCCUGAGAGGGUGACCGGCCACAUUGGGACUGAGAUACGGCCCAGACUCCUACGGGAGGCAGCAGUGGGGAAUAUUGCACAAUGGGCGGAAGCCUGAUGCAGCAACGCCGCGUGCGGGAUGACGGCCUUCGGGUUGUAAACCGCUUUCGCCUGUGACGAAGCGUGAGUGACGGUAAUGGGUAAAGAAGCACCGGCUAACUACGUG